AUGAUUUAGAUAAAAAAAACUAAAAAAUCUAACCUAACACUAAAACAAAAACAUACUAACUUAGAAUCUAUAUGGAUUUGUGGUAUUAUUAGACUUGGAUAGUUGGAUUUAUAUUAUUCUUGAUAUUUGAUUUAUGUUACAGUAUUUUUAUUUGUGGAUUUACAGUGUUGUAGUAUGUUAUUCUACAUGUUAGAAUUGUUGAUUGCUAAAAAAUUAUUGAAUUUUAUUUGAUUUUAGCAUUAUGCGAAUUCAUAUAUCUGAAAAAUUCGCACACAAUCUGCAUAGGUAUUACUCGCAUCAUCCGCAUACUUUUUAGCGGAUGCAUGUGUACCUAUAUAUGGGUAUAGAUUUAGAUUUUUCCAUCCCUACAUAAAAUAAUUAAGACCACUAAAAAUAAGUCAAAACAAGAUAUGUCUUGAUAUAACCCUACGUAUUAGUUACUUAUUCUUGCAUAUUUUUAGUGAAAUGUAGAAAUGUAAGUUACAAUAACUUACUAAAUUAACUUUGGCAAACUCAACAAGUAAUUCCCUUACAUGAAAGUGUGCAAUAUUAAAUAUUUUUAGUGAGUGGUGGACAGAUGCAUGUCUGUCUUCAUGUUGUCCAAAUCAAUAACUAAUGUUAGCUAAUUGCAAAGCUUGGUAUCUUUCGUGAUUUAAGGGAAUAGCCUUUUGUUUAGGGGUGGGCACUAUUUAGUUUGGUUCGGUUCAGUUAGGUUCAGCCCUCGAACCGAACCAAAUUGAAACCAAAUGGUUCAUGGAUUUAUGAACCAAAUAUGAACUAAAUUAUAAAACCGAACCGAACCAAACCAAAUUAAUUUGGUUCGGUU
rnacentral:lncRNA from 1 species